GAUGAACGCUGACGGCGUGCCUAAUACAUGCAAGUCGAGCGAACAGACGAGGAGCUUGCUCCUCUGACGUUAGCGGCGGACGGGUGAGUAACACGUGGAUAACCUACCUAUAAGACUGGGAUAACUUCGGGAAACCGGAGCUAAUACCGGAUAACAUGUUGAACCGCGUGGUUCAACAGUGAAAGACGGUCUUGCUGUCACUUAUAGAUGGAUCCGCGCCGCAUUAGCUAGUUGGUAAGGUAACGGCUUACCAAGGCAACGAUGCGUAGCCGACCUGAGAGGGUGAUCGGCCACACUGGAACUGAGACACGGUCCAGACUCCUACGGGAGGCAGCAGUAGGGAAUCUUCCGCAAUGGGCGAAAGCCUGACGGAGCAACGCCGCGUGAGUGAAGAAGGUCUUCGGAUCGUAAAACUCUGUUAUUAGGGAAGAACAAAUGUGUAAGUAACUAUGCACGUCUUGACGGUACCUAAUCAGAAAGCCACGGCUAACUACGUG
rnacentral:rRNA from 1 species